UGAUGCCACGUUUAAAUAGGAGAAGAGAUAGGGUUUAGAUGAGAUAAGAGUCCAAACUCCCUUGAACUUUAGAAUUUUUGACGCCACCCACCCUUUCUUCUUUUGCGCCCACAUAUCUCAUGGAGAAAAAUGGGUUUAAGUGAACUUCUUACAUGCAACAAAGAUCUCAUGUCUUGAAGAAUAAAUAAGCAUGAAAACAAGUGGGCGUGGGACUCCUUAUGGCGC
rnacentral:lncRNA from 1 species